rnacentral:rRNA from 1 species
UACGUAGGGGGCUAGCGUUGUCCGGAAUCAUUGGGCGUAAAGCGCGCGUAGGCGGCCAGAUAAGUCCGGUGUGAAAGUCACAGGCUCAACCUGUGAAUGCCGCUGGAAACUGUCUGGCUAGAGUCCGGAAGGGGCGAGUGGAAUUCCUGGUGUAGCGGUGAAAUGCGCAGAUAUCUGGAGGAACACCGGUGGCGAAGGCGGCGUCCUGGACCAACACUGACACUGAUGAGCGAAAGCUAGGGGAGCAAACAGG